rnacentral:rRNA from 1 species
AGUGAACGCUGGCGGCAGGCCUAACACAUGCAAGUCGAGCGGCAGCGGGUCCUUCGGGAUGCCGGCGAGCGGCGGACGGGUGAGGAAUACAUCGGAAUCUGCCCUGUCGUGGGGGAUAACCUAGGGAAACUUAGGCUAAUACCGCAUACGACCUACGGGUGAAAGCGGGGGAUCGCAAGACCUCGCGCGACAGGAUGAGCCGAUGUCCGAUUAGCUAGUUGGCGGGGUAAAGGCCCACCAAGGCGACGAUCGGUAGCUGGUCUGAGAGGAUGAUCAGCCACACUGGGACUGAGACACGGCCCAGACUCCUACGGGAGGCAGCAGUGGGGAAUAUUGGACAAUGGGCGCAAGCCUGAUCCAGCCAUGCCGCGUGGGUGAAGA